rnacentral:rRNA from 1 species
GAUGAACGCUGGCGGCGUGCCUAAUACAUGCAAGUCGAGCGAACAGACGAGGAGCUUGCUCCUCUGACGUUAGCGGCGGACGGGUGAGUAACACGUGGAUAACCUACCUAUAAGACUGGGAUAACUUCGGGAAACCGGAGCUAAUACCGGAUAAUAUAUUAAACCGCAUGGUUCAAUAGUGAAAGACGGUUUUGCUGUCACUAAUAGAUGGAUCCGCUCCGCAUUAGCUAGUUGGUAAGGUAACGGCUUACCAAGGCAACGAUGCGUAGCCGACCUGAGAGGGUGAUCGGCCACACUGGAACUGAGACACGGUCCAGACUCCUACGGGAGGCAGCAGUAGGCAAUCUUCCGCAAUGGGCGAAAGCCUGACGGAGCAACGCCGCGUGAGUGAUGAAGGUCUUCGGAUCGUAAAACUCUGUUAUUAGGAAAGAACAAAUGUGUAAGUAACUAUGCACGUCUUGACGGUACCUAAUCAGAAAGCCACGGCUAGCUACGUG